UGGGGAAUUUUGCGCAAUGGGCGAAAGCCUGACGCAGCAACGCCGCGUGGGUGAUGAAGGUCUUCGGAUCGUAAAACCCUGUCGUCAGGGACGAAGGUCGGGGGGUGAACAGCCCUUUGGCUUGACGGUACCUGGAGAGGAAGCCCCGGCUAACUCUGUGCCAGCAGCCGCGGUAAUACAGAGGGGGCAAGCGUUAUUCGGAAUUAUUGGGCGUAAAGGGCGCGUAGGCGGUGUCUUAAGUGGGAUGUGCAAUCCCCGGGCUUAACCUGGGAACUGCAUCCCAGACUGGGACGCUGGAGUACUGGAGAGGGUGGUGUAAUUCCACGUGUAGCGGUGAAAUGCGUAGAGAUGUGGAGGAACACCAGUGGCGAAGGCGGCCACCUGGACAGUAACUGACGCUGAGGCGCGAAAGUGUGGGUAGCAAAC
rnacentral:rRNA from 1 species